UACGUAGGUGGCAAGCGUUGUCCGGAUUUAUUGGGUUUAAAGGGUGCGUAGGCGGUCUUCUAAGUCAGUUGUGAAAUACUUCAGCUUAACUGGAGAGGUGCAAUUGAUACUGGAAGACUUGAGUACUGAUGAGGUAGGCGGAAUGGACGGUGUAGCGGUGAAAUGCUUAGAUAUCGUCCAGAACACCAAUAGCGAAGGCAGCUUACUAAGGAGUAACUGACGCUGAGGCACGAAAGUGUGGGGAUCAAACAGG
rnacentral:rRNA from 1 species